rnacentral:lncRNA from 1 species
GCUCUACACUGCGUCAACUCUUGAACGGCUACAUCGAACAGGCUCAACUAUCAAUGUCGGGUAACGGCGCAAUCGGUUCGUCUGGAACUGUUCUCGCCUCUGGGUAUUUCCUAUUGAACUUUAUUGUUCAAUUCUUAUGUUUCAUAGUACCUACUGUAUGCUUUAUGUUCACUGCAAAUAAAAUGAUGGAUCAUGUUCCUGUUUACAUUAUCUUAUUUGUCAUGUUUUAUUCUAUAUUUUGGAUUAAAAUGAACCGUAAAAUGCCUCUGAUUCCAACAAUCCAAAAACUUGAAAGGGCUUUUUUGGUAGUUGGCUUUGCUGCACAAUUGAAACCGAAGACUCGGCAAAGCCUUCGCUGAGUGUUCCACUCGGCAAACGGCACUUGGCAAACAAAGACUUGGCAAAGCUUAUAUACUAUAACUCACGCACCCCGCCGCUGCCCCUCCCUUCCCUCCCUUUUCUGGCCCACUCCCUCCCUCUCC